GAAUAAAUAAGGAUUUGAAUUUUUUUAACUAAUUAUAGAAGUUUCAAAUAAAAAUUAUAGAUCAUAAUUUAUUAUUUAUUACAAAUGCUUUUAUUAUGAAAACUUUUAUAAAAGUUUCAAAGAAAAAUAUAUUAAAUUGAAGUGUAGGAUUUUUCAAACAAAUUAAAGUUGAGAAAUGACCAUAUUACACCCAUCUAAAACUGAGGGACGGUGGCCACAGGUUAACCUGCAAACCAAUGAUAUUAGGUCAUAGGAAUUUUUUUGAUAUAAAUUGAAAUUGAAGGGGAGGAAGAAG
rnacentral:misc_RNA from 1 species